AUGGGCGCGAGCCUGAACCAGCCAAGUCGCGUGAAGGAAGAUGUCCUAUGGAUUGUAAACUUCUUUUUUAGGGGAAUAAAGUGCGCCACGUGUGGUGUUUUGUAUGUACCCUACGAAUAAGGAUCGGCUAACUCCGUGCCAGCAGCCGCGGUAAUACGGAGGAUCCAAGCGUUAUCCGGAUUUAUUGGGUUUAAAGGGUGCGCAGGCGGGAUAAUAAGUCAGUGGUGAAAGUUUGCAGCUUAACUGUAAAAUUGCCAUUGAAACUGUUAUUCUUGAGUGCAGACAAGGUAGGCGGAAUGUAUUGUGUAGCGGUGAAAUGCUUAGAUAUAAUACAGAACCCCGAUUGCGAAGGCAGCUUACCGGACUGUAACUGACGCUCAGGCACGAAAGCGUGGGGAUCAAACAGGAUUAGAUACCCUGGUAGUCCACGCAGUAAACGAUGAAUACUAGCUGUUCGCGAUAUACAGCGAGUGGCACAGCGAAAGCGUUAAGUAUUCCACCUGGGGAGUACGUUCGCAAGAUGAAACUCAAAGGAUGACGGGGCCCGCACAAGCGGAGGAACAUGUGGUUUAAUUCGAUGAAA
rnacentral:rRNA from 1 species